UCCUCGAUCUGCUGCGGGCAGAUGAAAUGGAUGUGGCUGUCCACCGCGCCGGCGGUGAGGAUCUUGCCCUCGCCGGCAAUCACUUCCGUGCCGGGGCCGACGACGAUGGUGACGCCCGGCUGCGUGUCGGGGUUGCCGGCUUUGCCGAUGGCGUGGAUGCGGCCGCCGCGAAGCCCCACAUCGGCCUUGUAGAUGCCGCUAUGGUCGAGGAUCAGCGCGUUGGUGAUGACCGUGUCCACCGCGCCCUCGGCCCGGCUCGCCUGGGACUGACCCAUGCCGUCGCGGA
rnacentral:sRNA from 1 species